rnacentral:misc_RNA from 1 species
GAGCGUCAUUUGUACCCUCAAGCAAUGCUUGGUGUUGGGUGAUUGUCCACUCACUUGGCUGGACUCGCCUUAAAUUCAUUGGCAGCUGGUAUCCUGGUGUUAAGCGUAGCACAAUUACGUUUCUCUCUAGCGAGCCCGCGCCCACGAAGCACAUUAUCACGUUUGACCUCGGAUCAGGUAGGGAUACCCGCUGAACUUAA